GCUGUCGGGUGCGCCCUCUUCCUAUGUAGUUGCUGCCUGCCCACCCUCUGCCACGCCAUGGUACUUCCCAGAAUGUCUUGUGCAGGGCAGGAAGUGCGGCCCCUCUGCUUCCUCUCAGAAAUCCCAUAAGCAGAGAGGACAGUGAGGGUGGGGUCUCUCAGGAAGGGCUCUAGCUACUGUUGUCCCACAGUGCCUUUCCUGUGAGCAUACAGCAUUACUCUCCAUUGUCCUUCAACCUAGUUGUCACUUCCUCCAGGAAGUCCUCUCUGAUUACUACUGCUGCUCCCAGGCCAAGAACCCUGCUAAUUCAAGGACAAGCGCAGAGAUUGGGACUUCACCUAAGAGGCCUUGGGCGAACCAGAAGCACAUAGUGGUGCUGUGAAGACCCCGUGAAGCUGAAGGGCACCUGUGCAGAGAAGCAACGAGAACCAGUGGCCUCUGUCCUCGGCAGACAAGAGGUGGUGGUGACUGGCAAGAGGCAGGGGACAGUGAGGCGAAGAGGAAGCAGAUAAAACCAAAGGACAGGAAGGACACAGACCUCUGGGGUGAAGACAGAAUGAAGGGAUCUAGUGGGUGGUAAAAGCCCAGCAGACACCUGAGUAAUGGAAAGUCACUAUCCUGGCACUCCCAGAGGAGAAGCUGAUGGGAGGUGUAAUGGCCAUUGUCAAUAAUGGUUGCCCCUCGGGAGACUGACAGCCCAGCAGAAUCUCAGGACACCGGAGGCCAUACGUGUGAGGUCAUAUCUUCCCUUGAGAGCUGCAGUGGUAAUCUUGUCCCUCCAGAAUGUCCUGUGAUGAGCUCUUCAAAAAACCAGCUCAGAGUCCUCCCCAGCCUCCAGGCCCCGCUGCUGACUGAGCUUACCGCCUACCACCCCCAGUGCCUCCAUCCCUAGACCAAGAGGUGCCCUGCCCAUGACUGUGAACGUGCCUGCUUCAAGAGUGCGCUCAGGCCUUUAUCAUAGAAGCAGUAGCCAAGCACUGAUCCCAGCUUGCCGCCUCCCUCCCCAUGCAGCUCAGCGAGCCCACAGAAGCCAAACAGAAGCAGGACAGAGGGGAACCAUCCAGCUUCCUGCCAACGUGCUGAGUGGACAGACGGGCUUCAAAAGACAGGAGAAGAGGGAGAAAAGUGGUGGCCUUGCCCGUAAAGAGCACUGAUGCCCUAGGGACCCAUCGCAUCCAGCAAGGAAUCACUCAGACCCAGGCAGGAUGCUGUUCUAUCAGUCCCUAGAUUCCUGGGGGAUCUCCCCAAGCUACCUUGGGAGAAUGAACGAGGCCAGCCCACAUGGAUGGAACCAGGUCUGAAGUAUGGAUUCUCCUGAGGCCCUGGAGAACCUGGCCUUUCAAUAGCCCAUCGCCUGUCCCAGGUAAUCAUGUUGAUGGCAGCGCAGUCCCCGAGCUGUGAUUUGGUCUGGGAAUAGAAUUAUCAGGAAGCCCGGCUUGGCUGUCACAGAUGCUCUGCUUGGGGUUUUCCCUUGAAGUAAACAGAAAGAGUCCCAGUGGAAGGAGCGACUCAGCAGGGACUAUGGCAGCUGGCCUCCCCACUGGCCACUCUGUCCUCAAUGGUCACCUCUCAAAGGCUCAAUUAGUAAACAUUUCCUAGUCUAGGCUGGGAAAUGGCUACUGUUGAUGCAGUCACAGAGGAGGCACUGUGUACCAGUGCCCAACCAGUAUCCACAUUUUCUGAAGGCAGGCCCGAGUUGUCAAUCCAGAGACUAGACAGAAGAACUCAGCUCCACAUGUAAGUGAGUCCCUGUCCCUAGGCAGGCACAGGCCUGGCCCUGGUUUCCUGAUCUGUCUUGGCUAUUGAAAUCUAAUGGGAAAGGGGGUGCAGAGGAGGCCUGGGAUCUAGGCAAACUGACAGCUGAAGAAUCAGCAAGACCCAGCCCAGGAGUCAGGCCUGACUGUGCUGGCCACUAUCCAGACAGCUGAGCCUAGCUUGCAGUCCAGGGGCACAUGACACUCCAAGGACCAAGUAAAGCCUGGGCUCCCAUGUGAGUCUGGACACUCAGGGCCACUUGGCAGGCAGCAGGGUUCGGAGCCUGAUGCUCUUCCCUGGUCUCAGGUUGGAUUCCUACUGCUGAGACCUGCAUGCAUGUGGGAGUCAUCUUGGCUGUACUGCCCAUGGGACACAUCUCUAAGGUCCAGCCUUGUUGUGCUCCCUGGAUGUCCAUAAGCAAGCUACUGGUCAUUUGCCUGUGACUUCGGUGCCCUGGGAUGAGAGCCAUGACCAGGUUCCUGCCUCUCCAGUGCCAUGCUGGUACAUGCACCCUCGUGUGCAGGUUUAUGAACACCCUGCACCAGUAUGGCACUCCAUGCAGGGGAGUGCCCUGCCAUAGAAAAGCUGGCAAGACAGUGAGGCAGCAGGCCCACAGCGAGGCCCCUAACAAAGGCGGGGCGUUGGCAGGCAGCAGAAGAGGGGCGGGCUGAGAUGGAUGUGGCUUGGAGCCUAACAGGCCACCAGCAGCCGCAGCAUCUGCUUUUUCUCACCUCUAAAGGGAAUCGAUUUGUCUCUGACUGAUUUCCCUGACGUCUAGUUUUCUUCUCCGCCCGGCUGUCAACCCAGCCACUGUGCACAGGGCGGGGGAGGCCCUGGCCGUCAGCCUGCCUGCCUGCCUGCCCGCCUGCCUGCUCCUACCUCCCCAUGCGCCCACAUGCUCAAGGCUGAUCUCAUACUCAUAGCCACAAAAAAAGCCCACACCCCACAGACAGCCUACCCACCCCAGACACAAACCCCACAAGAUAUGCACAUCACACCCACCCACACACAGACAACCUGCCCACAACAUAGACAUCCCACAUAAUACACAUAACACGUACACACACACAGAUAACAACCUGCCCACAAUACAUUCACAGCCACACACAGGCAACUGGACCAUAACCUGCCCACAACAUAUACAACAUACACAACAUACACACCCUACACAAUACAUACCCCAUACAUAUAUACACACAACCCACCCAGAACAACCCACUUACAGAUAACAUGCCCACAGCACACACACAUGCCACAAUGUAUAUGUAUAUACAUGUGUUAUAUGUUAUCAUACUCCUACCCAUAGACAACCUGCUCUCAGCAUGUACACAAUACAUAGACCCUCUCUUUCAGAUGAUGUCUCCUCCACUCACACAUAUAUACACACAUAUAUAGACAUACCUCUCGCCUGUAUUUAACAGACCCACACACCCUGAACUAGAUACACAGACCACUCAUGCUCCCACUUACAGGUAAUGUGCCCAUUACCCCCCAUCCCCCCGACCUGAUACACACUCCACAUAUAUCAGUCCACAGACAACCUGGCUACAAACAUCCACAUACUAUACACACCUCACAACACAAAGACAACCAGCCCACAUUACAUACACAACACACAGAACACACCCCCUAAUCUGGCAGACAGAUAGACCUGCUGCUUGCAGUGCAAACAUACCCAUGGGUGCCAACAUGUAAAAUGGACACACCACACACACUGUACACACAGAUGGACACACACAGCCUCCACCUUUCCCCUAGGGACCACAGAUAUGCCACCCAUCCCACACACACCACAUACUAAUGAGACCAGAAGAAGCCACCCUUUGCACAUGCAUUACCUUGCCUCUCUGACACAAGUACUCCUAUCCCCCAUACAUAUAUACACACAACCCCCCCAUAGCAUGCUCAAAACACUCAUACUCCACACAUUGCAUAUACAUUCACAAUCUGUCCAUAACAAGCCCACAGGGUGCACACUCCACAAAACAUAAACACCAUUAACCGAGACACUUUCCAUGUUUACACAGACAUCUACAGAACACACACACACACAACCUCUCUAGCUCUCCUGUUCCCAUCUGACUCCCAACCCUCACAUGGCUGACUGCCACACAUGCAUACACACUCCCCCACCAUAUGUGCAUGCCUUCCAUUCCCAUAGACCUUGGCCUCACAUCCCUUCUCCAUGAUUGAGUAUCUGCAGGUUCUCCAGGGCCUCUGUGUGUGGUGUUGUCCUUCCUUGGACUGCCCACCCUUCUUCUUGUCAUGAAAACCUGUACAGAGGGGAAGCAAAACUACCAGAACCCUGCCAUGUACCCGAGGUCCCAGAGCCUAGGAGGAAGACAGCCAUAGCCAAGCUGGGCAGGGCUUGAGGGAACAGUGGGACCCUCUUGAGUAGCUUGCUACAACCCAACCUGGGUGCAUUGUUGGAUUCUGGUAGGGCUCAAGUGACUUGGGGCAGGAAUGAGGAAUUUCUAACACCCAGCACCACAUGGGGCAGGACUUCCAGGUAAUUCCCUGAAUAGCCAGUCAACAGCAACAACAGCAGCAAAGAGAACACCACACUGACUCUCAGUCCACAGAGCAUGACUGUGACAACCAUGGACUAAGGGCCUCAGAUGCCCAAGCUUGGCAGUCCUCUCAAGAACGAGGAGGUGAAGGUGCCAACUGCAGACAGGGUCCCAUAGAUAUGGCCAGUGAGUUUAGAUUGUUACUGUAAACUUAACAGCACGGCUAAAAACUCAGAUCAAACCAGCCAACUCCAGGAGACAGUGGGGUUAUCUGCCCUUAGAAAACUCCUAAGGUACUCUCUGUACCAUGCCCAUCUCAGGAAUCACACACCCUCAGCCUGGACCAGUGUGGUGUUGAUAUGUGCAUGUGUGCACAGAGUAUGACCUGACUGUUAAAGCACAGGACUGGGGUGCUCAGGUGGGUGGGUGGAACAUCUCCACAGCUGUGUGGCACUCCGUUGGGAUGUGAACAGCCAAAAGCAGCCAGAUGCAAUUGUGACUUGGAUGCAUAAGAAGAUAUAGGCUUGUGUCCCCUAAGAUGUACACACUGGGGUGAGUGUGGAAUUCCUUAUAGGAAUUAUGAGGUACAGCUCCAGAUAAAGGAGAGGCUCCCCUCUUGAGCUCAUGUCCUCCCCACCCCCCACCCCCGGACUUUAUCUGGCCAGGCAGCCCUGCUCUCAGCUCAGGCAGCAGAUAAUUGAUUAAUAGGACUCGUUCUUGGUUCUUUGAGGUCUGGUUGUAGAUAAGAGGAGACGGGAGCACCAGCGCCGAGGGAUGCCCUGGAUUCCAGGACUGAGCUCUGAAGUCACAGGUCAUAGGUGAGCCUAUUCCAAUCCUUCACCCUCCUCCUCCUCAUGCCAGAGGUACACACACCCUCCAGGGCAACAGGUACAAGGCAGGGCAGCCGUAAGGCUCACUCACCCUCACAAUGGAUUCAGGCUCAUCUCCAGCUGGAACAGGGAUUAGCUUCAUGUCCCCAUGAAGACUAUACAGAGCCAUGUUCAUGAGUGCAUGGGCUCCCAGGGGAGUGUCCCCAAAUUCCUACUUGUCUCCACAUGGCCCUUCUUUACUACUUAGAUACACUGAGGUUUGCUCCCAGAACCCCCAAAGCCACUAGGCAUAGAUCCUGCCUCUGUGACCUUCAAUGACUCCUCUAAACCGGGAAGUGGAUGGGAAGACAGCAACACCAACCCCAAAGGCCUAGCCUAAGGAAAACAUGGAGGAACACGGACAGAUCUGCAGCAUGCUGGGGUGCAGGAUCCCAGCUGAUGUCUGUGUGGGACAGGAGUGGAAGAAUGGAUGUUCACAAUGUGUUCUGGAACAAUCCUGCUAGGAAGGGUCCUUCAUUUAUUUUCUGUUGUGUGCCAGAUACUAUGUGGCUAAGCUAUUUGACUGUUCAUAACCUGUGAGCAAGUCCUAAUGCCAUCCACUCUGGGGUUCUCAUCUGGGAGAUGUGAAGUGAGUAGCUAAGACUGGAUAAAGACCCCUGCCCCUGAGAGUACAACAAAAAACCCCAGGUUCAUUGGUAGCCAUAGGCUCCUUCCAGGAUCAGACCUGAAGUGGCUGGGGCUCCUAGGGCUGAGGCGGGAGACCGAGCUGCAGAAGGUGAUAAACCCAUCCCUGUCUCAGUGUGGAAUGAAACAUUCACUGUGCUCUGCAGCUCAGGACAAGAAUAUGCACCCAUGCUCCCAGAAUGCAUGCUCUGGUCCCUCCACGAAUGCAUGUGCCCCAACAGCCCUCCUCCACUCCUUGCAGAUCUCUGAUGGCCUCUGGGGGAAGAAAGAGGCUGCUUCUACAUCCAGCUGACAGGUAGCACUCUAGAGCCUUCCCACAACCCUAGCCUAACAUCAGCAUAGCAUCCCCUGCAUCCUGACUCAGCAUGGCCCACUCCCAAACGGUACAGCUACCAAAUCCAGGGCCCCUGAGCCAGUAAAGCCACCUCCCAGUGGAGAACUUGAGGCAAGAGCACAUGAGCUACAGACAGGCUGAAUGCCACACAGCUGCUCAGCCACAGGGCUGGGUGUAAGCUCAAGUCUCCCACUGCUUGACCAGACCAAGCUAUAUGGCUCACGCUAUCCACCCUUCCCCUCAGUCUCUACCCUCUUCUAGGUCUGUCCCUCUUUCUCUGCAUCUCUUCUGCUCCCAAGCUUUCCUCUUCCCGUUCCUGCUUCCUUGUCCAUCCUUUUGUUUAAGGGCAGCACUACACUGUCCUUUGGUUCUAGAUAAAAGGCUUUCUCGGGCUCUACUAUCCAUUUGUGCUAUACAACCCAUGCCCUCGUUGUGCAAUGGGACAGAAUCUCCUGAGCUCGGUGAAAGGCCACAGGCUGCACUGUAUCUUGCCCUUAAUUAUUCUGUGGUGUGUGUAUAAAUAUGUAUGCAUGAACCUCUAUGUCUUUGCAUGCAUGUGUGUGUGCAGGUAUAUGCAUCUCUGUGUGUGUUUUAUGUGUAUGGAAAUAUGUAUGCAGGGACAUGAACCUUUGUGUCAUGUGUGUGUAUAUGUGUAUAUGUGGGGUGUGUGUGUGUGUGUGUGUGUGUGUGUGUGUGUGUGUGUGGUAUUGACUAGAGGUUGGCAUCAGGUGUCUUCCUGCCUCAUUCUCCACUGUAUUUUUUAAAUGGAGUCUCUUUGCUGACCCUGAAGCUCACCGAUUGGCUAGACUGGUAAUCACUGAGCUCUUGGUUUCUCCCACCCUUCCCAGCACUGACUCCCAGGUGCCAUUCUGGCUUUCUGUAUGGGGACUGGAGGUCUGAGCUGAGACCAAGCCGUCUCCUUGGCCCUCCCUCAUUCUUCUGAGAGCACAACCCUCAAGGGUUUGCCCUCUUUCCAUACUGCCGGUCAUUGGAAGAAAAGAAGAGAGAGAAGAAUAGAGGGAAAAAGA